CUAUGAAGGCCCUCAAGUUGCCUGAUGGCUUGCCAUUGGGUGGGACCAGUUCCUAGGGCAGCCUGCCUGCCUGGCUGAGCUGUAUUACAUCGUCCUGGUGGGUGGCACUGACCUUGGGCUAACAGGCCCGGGGAAGAAUACCAAUAGCAUCUGCCAGCAUCUGUGUCAGUAUGCUUGUGUGAGGUCACAAUAAUGUCUGCUGCCAAUGUCUCAGUCCCUGGAGAGGUCUCACCUCUCAACAAGAUGCACCCAGAGCCUAUCAGGAUGUCUGAAGCAAUCAAGAUAUUAAUACCUUAGCAUCCAUUGCCAUAAGAACAUGUCAUUCCUUCGUCCAAGAUUUAUGCUACGUAAUAGGGAUGCAAUGAUGGAAAAAAAGAACACAACAGCAAUGAUAAAACCUACAUAAUACACUAACUAGCACAAGUAAGAAUUUCCAUGAAAUUCAAGUAGUAAUGGGAGAAGCACACCAUGCAAUUUAAGAAGAGGCACAGAGUGACCUUCACAUUUCAUUUGGAUUACAGAACCUCAUGCUAGGCAACUGUCUUCUACCACUGGAACAAAAAACCUAGAGAUUACAACCCUGAGAAGGAGGAUCCGCAGGGAUCUGGCCUGGAGAACACCAGAAAUAGGCUGUCGACAUGCUGUAAAAUGUUCUCUCGUGAUGCUGGGCAUCAACAGCGAGCAACAGCUCCCACUCAGCCCCACGAUCAUGAGGCUUGUGUGCACGGCUGACGAUCCUGAACUACCUUUCUACAGGCUGAAUUCCACACUAACACUGCUGGAGGAAUUAGAACACGUCGAAGCAUGAAAGGCUAGAAUGCAGACAUGGGAGCAACUCAACAUCAAACAUGCAGAUGAUGACAACUAACCCGUAGGGAAUAGUAGAACAACAAAAUGGCAGAAACCUGUGUCCUUAAGAGACUCCAUGGAUCAGAGCCACUCUGCUAACCUAGGCCAGCCCAAAUAAAACGUGUCUGAGAAAUAAACUUAUUUAACCUUCUGUA
rnacentral:lncRNA from 1 species